rnacentral:rRNA from 1 species
UACGUAGGGGGCAAGCGUUGUCCGGAUUUAUUGGGCGUAAAGAGCGUGUAGGCGGCCAGACAGGUCCGUUGUGAAAACUCGAGGCUCAACCUCGAGAUGUCGAUGGAAACCGUCUGGCUAGAGUCCGGAAGAGGAGUGUGGAAUUCCUGGUGUAGCGGUGAAAUGCGCAGAUAUCAGGAAGAACACCAAUGGCGAAAGCAGCUCUCUGGG